GUCUCCGUAGGUGAACCUGCGGAGGGAUCAUUACUGAGUUUUUAACUCUCCAAACCAUGUGAACUUACCACUGUUGCCUCGGUGGUCGGUGCUGGAAACAGUGCUGCCACCGGUGGACUACUAAACUCUUGUUAAUUUUUGUCAAAUCUGAAUCAAAACUAAGAAAUAAGUUAAAACUUUCAACAACGGAUCUCUUGGUUCUGGCAUCGAUGAAGAACGCAGCGAAAUGCGAUAAGUAAUGUGAAUUGCAGAAUUCAGUGAAUCAUCGAAUCUUUGAACGCACAUUGCGCCCAUUAGUAUUCUAGUGGGCAUGCCUGUUCGAGCGUCAUUUCAACCCUUAAGCCUAGCUUAGUGUUGGGAGACUGCCUAAUACGCAGCUCCUCAAAACCAGUGGCGGAGUCUGUUCGUGCUCUGAGCGUAGUAAUUUUUUAUCUCGCUUCUGCAAGCCGGCCAGACGACAGCCAUAAACCGCACCCUCUCGGGGGGCACUUUUUUAAUGGUUGACCUCGGAUCAGGUAGGAAUACC
rnacentral:rRNA from 1 species